UGGACGAUGACCUGUCUUAGCUGCUUCCCGC
rnacentral:piRNA from 1 species